rnacentral:rRNA from 1 species
UGUGGAGUAAUUAGAUUUUUAAAGGCUAGCCUUAUAGAGGUGAAGAAAGAAUAAAACCGUGAUGUUUUAGGUUUAUCAAAAUAUUGAUAGUUUGGAACAAGUGGGAGUAGUAGGUUGUCAGUGAAACUUGUAGUGAGAGCUAAAGGGGUAGUACCGUGAGGGAAAGUUGAAAUAUCGUGAAACAUUUAAGGGUAAAGAAGAAAGGAUGAAGUCCUGUACCUUUUGUAUGAUGGUUCGGUGAGUAUUCUGGUGAGGAGUUGCCGUACCCGAAUUUGAGCGAGUUAGUGUACUCUUCCUUGUGAGAAGAAAGCUUUUACUGUUGCAAUAGUAAGGUUCGAGGGUACACUAGGUGUGAAAUGUUUAUCGUGCUCAAUGAUAGCUGGUUUCCCCGGAAAUUGGUGUCAGCUAUAUUUGUUUGGCUAUUGGGGAUGUAAUUAUCCGUAAGAGGUAAUAGUUAAUCCUUGAUAGAAAUUCGGAGUGUAGACAAGGAGGGAUAAGCUUCCUUGUUGAGGAGGUAAAAGCCUUAACCAUGGGUUAAAAACGCGCUGGGAAACACGUUAAUUGGGUUCUGACUAGUGGUAGGAUUAAUGGCAUCUAUCCGGAUGAGGGCGUUAAAGCUCGUUUUGUAGCCAGUGGCGUGUAUGUAUAUUUUGGCAAGGUGAGUUUUAUGCCGUGGUUAUUUAUGGGGAAGUCUCAUACUAUUAUGGGAGUUAUAAUGCUGGGAUUAGUAAAGAGUAAAGUGGCUUUUUGUGUGUUAAGCAGUCCUAAUUUUUGAUGGGAGGAGCUUCAAUGUGCGAGAAAGUGUAGCUCGUCUUUGUCUGUCUGCUAACUCAAGUGGCUCGGAAAGGUUAUAAAAUUGAGGAGAAGGAAUUCGGCAAAUCAAGGAUCUCGCCUGUUUACCAAAAACAUCGCCCUUUGUAAAGUUUUCUUAUGUAUAAAGGGUCCUGCCUGCCCGGUGACUUAGUUAAACGGCCGCGGUAUCUUGACCGUGCGAAGGUAGCAUAAUCAUUUGCCCUUUAAAUGGGGGCUGGUAUGAAUGGCAAGACGGAGGUCCAGCUGUCUCCUACUCAAAUCUUGAAUUUGAUAUCCUCGUGAAGAAGCGGGGGUGUAGUCGUGGGACGAGAAGACCCUAUCGAGCUUUAGUGGGUUGCACAAGUUGGUUUGGCUGUUUGGGGGCUAAUCGUCUUCUUUUGGAGGAGGUGAGUUUACCGAUCAGGUGGCCUGGCUGUGUGCUUGUUGCUUUAGUUGGGGCAACUGCGGAGAAUAGUUACCCUCCGUUUUCGGAGCAUUCGUGAAGUGUCGGCUUCUGUGCGGGCGUUGCCUUUGUGGGGAUCCGCCGGGAAGAGGGCGAUUAAAGGAGUAAGUUACCGUAGGGAUAACAGCGUAAUUCUCUUGGAGAGUUCUUAUUGAUAAGGGAGUUUGCGACCUCGAUGUUGGAUCGGGAUUGCCUAGGGGUGCAGUAGUUCCUGAGGGUUGGUCUGUUCGACCAUUAAAAUCCUACGUGAUCUGAGUUCAGACCGGCGUGAGCCAGGUCAGUUUCUAUCU